rnacentral:rRNA from 1 species
UGUACUAUCCUGUAACAGAACUGUGGGGACACAGGCAGAGAGCGUGAGCCGGGAAUGGAAAGACCGGUACAAGCGAGGUAGGAGAAGAGCUGGCAAAUCCGCUCUUUAAUCUGAAGACGUGAUGUGGACUGAAAAUAAGUAGGGAAGCACGUGAGCUGACUGUCAAGAAAAGCCGCUAUUGUUUGCAGGAUACCCGUACCGUAAACCGACACAGGUGGAUGAGGAGAGAAUCCUAAGGCCGACGGGAGAAGCAUUGUUAAGGAACUCGGCAAAAUGACUCCGUAACUUCGGGAGAAGGAGUGCCAGUAAGAUGGCCGCAGAGAAUUGGCCCAAGCAACUGUUUAGCAAAAACACAGGUCUAUGCAAAACCGAAAGGUGAGGUAUAUGGGCUGACGCCUGCCCGGUGCUGGAAGGUUAAGGGGAGAGGUUAGCGCAAGCGAAGCUUUGAACUUAAGCCCCAGUAAACGGCGGCCGUAACAAUAACGGUCCUAAGGUAGCGAAAUUCCUUGUCGGGUAAGUUCCGACCCGCACGAAAGGCGUAAUGAUUUGGGCACUGUCUCAACAAUGCACCCGGUGAAAUUGAAAUACCAGUGAAGAUGCUGGUUACCUGCGCCAGGACGGAAAGACCCCAUGGAGCUUUACUCCAGCUUGAUACUGGGAUUCGGUAUUGCAUGUACAGGAUAGGUGGGAGGCUAGGAAAUGGUAACGCCAGUUGCCAUGGAGCCAAUGUUGGGAUACCACCCUUGCAGUACUGGGUUUCUAACCAGCAGCCGUGAUCCGGCUGGGGGACAAUGUCAGGUGGGGAGUUUGACUGGGGCGGUCGCCUCCGAAAGGGUAUCGGAGGCGCUCAAAGGUUCCCUCAGAAUGGUUGGAAACCAUUCGAAGAGUGCAAAGGCAGAAGGGAGCUUGACUGCGACACCGACGGGUGGAGCAGGUACGAAAGUAGGACUUAGUGAUCCGGUGGUAUAAAGUGGGAUUGCCAUCGCUCAACGGAUAAAAGCUACCCUGGGAUAACAGGCUUAUCACUCCCAAGAGUUCACAUCGACGGAGUGGUUUGGCACCUCGAUGUCGGCUCAUCGCAUCCUGGGGCUGAAGUAGGUCCCAAGGGUUGGGCUGUUCGCCCAUUAAAGCGGUACGCGAGCUGGGUUCAGAACGUCGUGAGACAGUUCGGUCCCUAUCCGGCGUGGGCGUAAGAUAUUUGAGAGGAGCUGUCCUUAGUACGAGAGGACCGGGAUGGACUGGCCGCUGGUGUAUCUGUUGUCUUACCAAAGGCAUAGCAGAGUAGCCAAGCCGGGAAGGGAUAAACGCUGAAGGCAUCUAAGCGUGAAGCCCCCCUCAAGAUGAGUUAUCUCAUAACGUCAAGUUAGUAAGACCCCUUGAAGACGACGAGGUAGAUAGGGCAGAGGUGGAAGUGUGGUAACACAUGGAGCUGACUGUUACUAAUAGGUCGAGGGCAUAACU